CUUACUAAGCCUCUCAACGAUGCUCAAACCUGGAGGU
rnacentral:ncRNA from 1 species